AACGAACGCUGGCGGCGUGCUUAACACAUGCAAGUCUGACGGAGUCAUUUUGAAGUAGCAAUAUGGAAAGAUGACUUAGUGGCGGACGGGUGAGUAACACGUAGGUAACCUACCCUUAAGCUGGGGACAACUCAGGGAAACUUGAGCUAAUACCCGAUAAGACCACGGACUGAGAUGUUAGUGGUAAAAGGAGCGAUUCACUUAGGGAUGGGCCUGCGGCCUAUCAGGUAGUUGGUGAGGUAAUGGCUCACCAAGCCUAAGACGGGUAGCCGGGCUGAGAGGCCGGACGGCCACACUGGAACUGAGAUACGGUCCAGACUCCUACGGGAGGCAG
rnacentral:rRNA from 1 species